GUGGGGAAUCUUAGACAAUGGGGGAAACCCUGAUCUAGCCAUGCCGCGUGAGCGAUGAAGGCCUUAGGGUUGUAAAGCUCUUUCAGCUGGGAAGAUAAUGACGGUACCAGCAGAAGAAGCCCCGGCUAACUCCGUCCCAGCAGCCGCGGUAAUACGGAGGGGGAUAGCGUUGUUCGGAAUUACUGGGCGUAAAGCGCGCGUAGGCUGACCAGCAAGUUGGAGGUGAAAUCCCAGGGCUCAACCUUGGAACUGCCUUCAAAACUCCUGGUCUGGAGUUCGAUAGAGGUGAGUGGAAUUCCGAGUGUAGAGGUGAAAUUCGUAGAUAUUCGGAGGAACACCAGUGGCGAAGGCGGCUCACUGGCUCGAUACUGACGCUGAGGUGCGAAAGCGUGGGGACCAAACAGGAUUAGAAACCCCUGUAGUCC
rnacentral:rRNA from 1 species